rnacentral:rRNA from 1 species
UACGUAGGCAGCGAGCGUUGUUCGGAGUUACUGGGCGUAAAGCGUGCGUAGGCGGUGGUCCAAGUCUGGUGUGAAAUCUCCCGGCUCAACUGGGAGGGUGCGCCGGAAACUGGGCCGCUGGAGUACGGGAGAGGCAAGCGGAAUUCCAGGUGUAGCGGUGAAAUGCGUAGAUAUCUGGAGGAACACCCGUGGUGCAGACGGCUUGCUGGACAGUGACUGACGCUGAGGCACGAAAGCGUGGGUAGCAAACAGG